GACGAACGCUGGCGGCGUGCCUAAUACAUGCAAGUCGAACGCAUUUUCUUUCACCGUAGCUUGCUACACCGAAAGAAAAUGAGUGGCGAACGGGUGAGUAACACGUGGGUAACCUGCCCAUCAGCGGGGGAUAACACUUGGAAACAGGUGCUAAUACCGCAUAAUUCCAUUUACCGCAUGGUAGAUGGGUGAAAGGCGCUUUUGCGUCACUGAUGGAUGGACCCGCGGUGCAUUAGCUAGUUGGUGGGGUAACGGCCUACCAAGGCUGCGAUGCAUAGCCGACCUGAGAGGGUGAUCGGCCACACUGGGACUGAGACACGGCCCAGCCUCCUACGGGAGGCAGCAGUAGGGAAUCUUCGGCAAUGGACGCAAGUCUGACCGAGCAACGCCGCGUGAGUGAAGAAGGUUUUCGGAUCGUAAAACUCUGUUGUUAGAGAAGAACAAGGAUGAGAGUGGAAAGUUCAUCCCUUGACGGUAUCUAACCAGAAAGCCACGGCUAACUACGUG
rnacentral:rRNA from 1 species